rnacentral:tRNA from 2 species
GCCGCUGUAGCUCAGUCGGUAGAGCAGUGGACUGAAAAUCCGCGUGUCAAGAGUUCGAAUCUCUUCGGUGGCACAA